rnacentral:lncRNA from 1 species
CAAAUAACAAAUUUUAUAGGUUACAAUUUUUUACAUGGUCAAAAGCUAUCAAAUUAAUGGUUACAAAUUAACAAAAAUUUAAAUCGCAUAUUAUUUAUUGAUCACAUCAAAUAAUUUGUAACCAUCCCUAAUACUUGUGACCACCACUUUGUCAUUGCUUCUAGUCGUACCUUCGCCAACACCGUCGCCCAACAACACCAUUGCAUGCUUGCAACACCGUACUAUGAUUUUUCAAUUUUAAAACCAGCACUACCCCACCAUCCCACCACCAACAAAUCACCAUUUUCAACUACAAAAUCACCACCAGUGUUAACGCCAACACCUAAACCACCACCACCAUCAUCCCACUGUCACCGUCAUCGUCACCACUAUCUUACCAUUAACAUCACGGCCAGUAGAAGCAGUACCACCACCUCCUAUACCAAAACUCACAACCUCCAUUUUGAUCACACCACAACCACUAAAAAAUCUCCAAACCAGUUGUCGCCUCGACCACUGCAGCACUACCACCACCUUAUCAAAUUCACAGCAGAUUGCAAUCCACAGCUACAGCGCUGCUGCAAGUCGUGCGAUUGUCGCUGGAAGCGCGCAGUGGUACUGCUACACCGUGCAACAAUCGCAAGGUACUGUUGUAAGAGGAGCAUAUUGGUGUAACUGUUGUGCUGCACUGGGACGCACGAUGCCGCUGCAAGAGGAUAGAUCGACGCAUGAAUACAGAUGGUGGGUGGAUAGAGAGGGGGAUAAAGAGAGAAGAUGGAGAGAAAUGAACUAGGAUUGGGUGUAAAAUUGGGAUGAAAAAUAGAAUGGUGGGUGGGAUUUUUGGUUGGGUUUGUGCGCGUGUG